AAUAAAAACAUUCUAGAAAGAUGUGUGAUGCGUUCUAUGUGGCCCAAAAAUGGUUGAAAUAGCUGCUCACAGCACCGGUAGAAUCUUUAAUGAACGUGCAACUUCACUGUUGUACUGUAUUAAUGCCAUGGGAUUUGCAGUUGGGCUCAAUGCCCAUGCAUAUGUCAAGAAGGAGGAUGUAAGAGCGCAUCGCGAUCGCCGUCUCGAGAGUGCUUGUGAGUACGUAGGAGGGAGGAAUGGCUCGUAGACAACAUCAAUUUCAAAUACUAAAAGAAAUACUAUAGAAAUACUAUAAAAAAAAUUUUAUUUCUUCCAAAAGUUUGAACACGUUCUUCUUGAAACGAUGUUUCAAAGUCCAUGAGUACGAUUACUAGAAAAAUAGGUUGACUGAUCGAUCCAAAUAUGAAGACAACCUUCUGAGAUAUAUUCCUCAGAAAUUAAUCGAAGAAAUACGUUUUUAGGUAAUUAUUUCUAUUUUUUUGAUUAAUUGGUCGGGAAAAUUUUGGUCGAAUAGUUUUUGAUUCCGAAUGGGAGCUUUGUAUUCGGUCAUAUUUAAGUUCCCAAUCUUUUGCGAUAGGGUAAUUAAAUGUAGCCUAAAAAGUUCGAAUAUGCGGUGUGUUUAUUGCUUUUUCUUCUCGCUCAAGUAAUUAUUAUCAGAAAGGAAUUAAUGAUUGCUUAAAGAAUUGAUAUUAAUGGGCUCUUGAUCGUAUCAGAAUAUUGAGAGAAUCGCAUCAUUUUUUGUUAAGUUAUAGCAUAUUGUAUAUGAAAUUUUUUUUCGUUUUCUUUCGGCAAUGAGAUGACUGCUCAAUUUUUUUCCUCAAAGUAUUCUUAUUCAAGUCAAAAGAUGAUGGAACUACCUCUAUUAUUUUUAGAACAGUGGAAUUGGCUUUGAUAUUAGAUUACACUACCCUCCCUCUAUUUUUCGUUGAUUAUGAUGAGCUGUCGCCCGUAUUGGAAGUGCACUAAGAGGGAUGAUUAUUAAUAAUAUAAAAAAUGAAUUACCUUUUAUUGGAUUAUAUGACUUAUUAUUGAGAAUAUUUUACUCAUUAAGAUUAUUGGUAGAAAAACGAAUCGGAGUGGAGAGAGUCGGUGUGUUAAUAUAAACAUAAACAAUGACUUCAUAGGGAGAAUGAUCUGAGAGUUCUUUGUUAAUAGAUGAUAAUAUUUUUUUGAUCUUUGUGACCGGUAUUUAGUCUGCUCCAGCACUCCGUAGAGUACAGAUGUCACUUCCUCGUGUCAUAUUAAUAAUAAAAUAAAGUAAAGUUCAAUUCACUGCGUUUCUCUUGACCUAUUAUAGAUAAUCAUCUCUUGACCUAUUUCCAUUACUUUUCGACAUGUUUUGCACAAUUGAUGGAGCUGUCGAUGAUAGUACGAAUGAAACCAUUUCAUAACGAACCAACUUCACUCGAUUGCAUUAUAAUUCGAUUUUCAAUUGAGUACUUUCCCACACGAUAGGAUGACCUCAACCAGAUAAAUCGUGGUCACCGCCGAACACCUCUUUGUAGAGGACCUUCUGGAGAUCAUCCGCGGAAGCUUACCAUAUGGAUAUUUUUCGGAAUUUAUUCUGCCAUUUUAAACUUAAAUGUUGGUACUACAACUACCACUAUUUGUUCUAUUUUCAUUAAAUAAAAAGUCUUUCUACAAAA